rnacentral:lncRNA from 1 species
AUCAUUUUCUCUUCUCUCACAUCACUCUCCACCACCCGUUCUGCUCACAGAUCACCGUCGUCAGGAUAUACGAUGAUGUAUAUACAGAUCGCGGGUGUGGAUUCGUAUCACUCUCCAUACACUCGUAGCCACCAUUUUCUCCCACUCUUCAUCUUCUCUCAUCCCGCGAAUCGCCACCACUCACGGUGUCGCCGCUUGCAGUUGAGGCAAUCUGUAGAUGUGAAGAUGUGGUUAGAAAAUCUGUAACGUCGAUCUGCCUGAAUGUGUAGAUGGGAAGAUGUGGUUGCAACGCUGCUCUGCCCGAAUCCGCGAUGCCACCACGAUUUUGUUGGGAGUUUUUUUUAUUGGAUCUACUGUGUAGUGGUAGGCGGCGGUGGUGGUGGUUGUGGCGGGUUGUUUGUGUGUGGGAUAACAUGGGUGAAUUUGGUGGUUGAUUUUUUGGGAAGUUUUUUUUUUAAUCGAUCUACUGUGCGGCGAUCGAGGGCAGUGGUGGUGGCGGCGAUGAUUUGGGGCAGAUGCGAUGGUUGUGAUGGUUUGCGAUGCUGUGGUUGUGAUGGUUUUGGUUGCAUAUCUGAUGGCUUGGUGGUGGUGGAGGAUCUGGUGUUUUGGUGGUGUUUGGAGGUGGCUAAUCUGGUGGUUAUGGUGAUGGCGGUGGAUCUGGCAGUUUCGAUGCGGUGGUGGUACAGGUGAUUGAUGGCGGUUGCAAUGGUUUUGGUUGUUAAGUGGUGGUGGUGGUUUUGGCGCCUAUGAUGGAGGUGGUGCUGUUGGAGGCAGUGAAGGUAGUAAGUGUUGGUGGCGGUCACCGAUGGUGGUCACAGAUUAUUUAGUUGAUUUGUGAGCAUUAAAUUGAUUAAUCUGUGACCAUUAAAUAAUAUGUGACCAAUGAAAAAGUUAAAUUAUGACAAAAAAUAAUGCGUGAUUGAAAAAAUAUUAAUUUUGUGACUAUUUAAUUAGUUGUGACCUAUGAAAUUUGUUAUCUGUGGUCGAUAAAUAAAUUGUGACGUAUUAAUUUUUGAUCUGUGACCAAUGAAAAACCAUGACUCAUAAAAUUAUUGAAUCGUGAUCGUAAAAUAAUUCGCG